UAUAUAGCUAUAAUUUCCCGCCUCUAGAAACAUCACGCAGCUCAUUGGCUCUCGCGUGCUUCCUCACUGCGAUCGCAUGAUUUCUCCUUCCUUGUGUUUGAAUGACAAGCGCGCCUUCACGCGUGACUCAAAAUAAGAUUUUCACCGAACAACUUGAAUUCUGCACUCAACUUCACACAGAAUUACUGUACUUUCUGUGGUAAAUAAAGUGUAAAGUUAAGAGUCAGUAAAGCACAGAUGUGUGAGAAGAUCAGGUGACUGAUCCUCUGGUCUCUCGAUCUUCAGUUCUCCUCAAACCAGCAACAGAUCCUGGAUUAUAUCAAGUGAUUAUUGGAUUUACAUCAUGAUUCUGCUCACAUGUGGAGAUGAACUGGAGGAUCUGGAUGAAACACACGUGGAAAAAUUCAAUGUUUCAGUAAAAGUUUCAGGAAGUACUGCAGAAGAUUGAAGAAAACAGUGGGAAAUGGAGGGAAAUUUAUCAUGGAACACAUGGAAAGGAGGGACAGCAGAGACACCCAGGUAAAAAAGUAGUAUACUUUAGUGUAUUUGAAAUAUGAAUGAAGUACAUGAAUUAUAAAACAAGUAUACUUCUACUUGUUGUACUUUAUUUAAAGAGUAUUUGAUUUGUACUUUUUAAAAGUAUACUUCAAAAAAGAUGUAAUUAAGUUCAACUUAAUAGUCCAAACAGUAAGUAUACUAAUUUAUCAGUAAUCAAAUUAUUUUUUAAAUGUACUUUUUGAAAGUGUACUUUGUUGUUAAUGUAUUUUAAAUUGUAUUGAAGUUUAUUUUUUUUAAGUGUAUUAAAUUUGACAUAUGUAACCAGGUUGAAAUUAUAUCUUUACUUUUACGGUUGAAAUGUCACCAAAUCCUGAUGAACAUUGUUUCCUAUACAUUUAAGAUGUGUUCUGUUGCCAAUGUUUAUGGCUGGAUGUUGUAUUCAGACAUAGUGUUAAUACCUGUACUGUCACUUUAAGAGUGUCGCAGGCUUUGUGGCGUCAUUCACGCGCUUCCUUCAGUUUGCGCCAGACUAGCUGAGAGGAGGAGCUUGAGACCUGUGUAUUGUGUGGAGGAGACUGCAUGUGACAGAGCCUUAUGUAUUUUUUUGUUGAAUUGUACAGGUAUGUGUAUAAUGUUCAUGAUAAUUUGUCUGGCAUAGUGUUUACAUUGAUUGCAUAUGUAAAAGAAAUUCAUGUUGUCAAUUACAUUGAGCAUUUUAUAAUUUAUUUAGUUCAUUUUCACAUUUUUAUUUAAAAGUAUUUUUGCUGAUAAUAGUAAAAGUUUUAUCAGUAUAUGUAUAUGCAGUUUGCGCCAGACUAGCUGAGAGGAGGAGCUUGAGACCUGUGUAUUGUGUGGAGGAGACUGCAUGUGACAGAGCCUUAUGUAUUUUUUUGUUGAAUUGUACAGUUUGCACCAGGUUUGCUGAGAGGAAACGAAUUUGCUGUUCGCCUCCAUUAAAAGAGAAACCAGCAGUACAGUU